rnacentral:rRNA from 1 species
AGAGUUUGAUCCUGGCUCAGAACGAACGCUGGCGGCGUGCUUAACACAUGCAAGUCGAACGCGAAAGAGGUCUUCGGACCUCUCUAGAGUGGCGCACGGGUGAGUAACGCGUAGAUAAUCUACCCCUAUAUUUGGGAUAACAACUCGAAAGGGUUGCUAAUACCGAAUACCCUCAUUUGUAUGCGAGUAUGGAUGAGGAAAGGUGACCUCUUCAUGAAAGUUACUGUAUAGGGAUGAGUCUGCGUACCAUUAGCUAGUAGGUAGGGUAAAGGCCUACCUAGGCGACGAUGGUUAGCGGGUCUGAGAGGAUGAUCCGCCACACUGGAACUGGAACACGGACCAGACUCCUACGGGAGGCAGCAGUGAGGAAUAUUGCGCAAUGGGGGAAACCCUGACGCAGCGACGCCGCGUGGGUGAAGAAGGCCUUCGGGUUGUAAAGCCCUGUCAGGUGGGAAGAAGUGUAUCAUGGCUAAUAUCCAUGGUAUUUGACGGUACCACCAAAGGAAGCACCGGCUAACUCCGUGCCAGCAGCCGCGGUAAUACGGAGGGUGCAAGCGUUGUUCGGAUUUACUGGGCGUAAAGGGCGCGUAGGCGGUCUUAUAAGUCAGAUGUGAAAGCCCACGGCUUAACCGUGGAAGUGCAUCUGAAACUGUCAGACUUGAGUAUGGGAGGGGAAAGUGGAAUUCCCGGUGUAGAGGUGAAAUUCGUAGAUAUCGGGAGGAAUACCGGUGGCGAAGGCGACUUUCUGGACCAAUACUGACGCUGAGGCGCGAAAGCGUGGGUAGCAAACAGGAUUAGAUACCCUGGUAGUCCACAGCUGUAAACGAUGAUAACUAGGUAUAGGGGGUGUUGACCCCCUCUGUGCCGCAGCUAACGCAUUAAGUUAUCCGCCUGGGGAGUACGGUCGCAAGAUUAAAACUCAAAGGAAUUGAUGG